AUUAACAAAAUCUAUAUAUAUAAAAAAAUGUUUGCCUCCUUCCUGUUGCACCACAUCAGCGCCAGGUCAGAAAGUCGGCUUCCGUCCUGUCGACACGUGUCCAGCAAACAAAAACGCAUUGCUUCAUUAUCGCUUCAUUAUUUUUCUUUGGGCUUCUUUCUAUACGUAUUUGGGCUCCUUUAUUAUUAUUCAGCCUAAUUUAGAGAGCAAUAGAGUAGACGCAUCGUCGUUAAGACGCAUCGUCGUUAAGAGUAUCUUUGCCAAGCUUUGACUGUGUCAUUUCUUCUUCGUUUCUUAUCUUCUGAAACGUUUUGAGAGAUAUUGAUUCAUCGCAUUUAGCAAACUUCUUAAAUAUUUCCACGAUUUCAGAUUAAUUGCUUCUCCGUUAUUCCAGUCGGUGAAUCUGUAAAUAUUUAUAGGUGAGAUUGUAUCUGUGAAAUUCAUCAUUCUAUUCUCUUUAAAAUUUGAAUUCUCCGAUGGAUAGUGGUGAAGGAGUGAGAGCAGGCUGCAUGCGGAUCAGGUGUCCGUCUACACAGAGAGCCAUGUCUCGGUUGCUUACCUUAAAUUGAAGAAGAACACUAUAGCGGAAAGCUAGGUAAGAGACGGUGAUUUGUUGAUGAUCAGAAAUUUCUCAGAGGAUGAUCAAUUCCGAACUGCAAAUAAGGGACUUUCUAUUCAGCUCUGUUAGAAGAUUUUGAAGGAGAAAUGGAUCAGCUUGAAACAUAACGCCAAGCUGAGUUUUUCGCUUCUUCAAAUUGGGCAAGAAAAAAAGGAUAACUAUUUCAAGCUCAUGUUUACAGGAGGUUUCAGAGAAGAGUGAAGGCUCAUGUGUUCAUGACCAUUGGAGGACAACAAGGAAUAUGUCCUAAUGAGCAGGAGAGAAGGCUACAGAAGCUCAUGGAGACUAGACAAGAAGAGGAUAUAAAAGAGCUGCAGACUUCAUUGCGAGACGCUAAUAAAAGUCUUCAUGAGAUGGAGGCUGAAUAUUCUUGGUGGAAAGACACUGUGUGUGUAGGCUCGGAACAUAUACAGUCUCAAAUCAACUCCAACUAUCAAAAUCGUUGUUACUCUUUCCCUAAGUAAGAAAUCCAGUGUUUUAUGUUUUAAGAGUUUGUAAUCUUGUGAAGAAGCGUAAUGUGAAUUAAUGGAUUUGCCUUAUAUUUUUCAAUUCGUUUCAAUUUGCUAUG